rnacentral:rRNA from 1 species
UACGUAGGGGGCAAGCGUUGUCCGGAAUUAUUGGGCGUAAAGAGCGUGUAGGCGGUCCGGUAAGUCAGCUGUGAAAGUCAAGGGCUCAACCCUUGAAUGCCGGUUGAUACUGUCGGGCUAGAGUCCGGAAGAGGCGAGUGGAAUUCCCGGUGUAGCGGUGAAAUGCGUAGAUAUUGGGAGGAACACCAGUGGCGAAGGCGGCUCACUGGACCGGAACUGACGCUGAGGCGCGAAAGCGUGGGGAGCAAACAGG